AAAUAUUCUCGGCCUUUUGGCUAAGAUCAAAGUGUAGUAUCUGUUCUUAUCAGCUUAAUAUCUGAUACGUCCUCCAUUGGGGGACAUCGAUAUUAAACUGAUUUUUGAAAGGGGGUGAGGUGCCCGGGGCUUGCUCCGCCCUCACCACGGGUUGACCCGGUAUUGCAGUCCUUCCGGGAAUGGCCCACCACUA
rnacentral:snRNA from 1 species